rnacentral:rRNA from 1 species
UACGUAGGGGGCAAGCGUUAUCCGGAUUUACUGGGUGUAAAGGGAGCGUAGACGGCAUAGCAAGUCUGAAGUGAAAGCCCAUGGCUCAACCGCGGAACUGCUUUGGAAACUGUUAAGCUGGAGUACUGGAGAGGCAAGCGGAAUUCCUAGUGUAGCGGUGAAAUGCGUAGAUAUUAGGAGGAACACCAGUGGCGAAGGCGGCUUGCUGGACAGAGACUGACGUUGAGGCUCGAAAGCGUGGGGAGCAAACAGG